rnacentral:rRNA from 1 species
AUUGAACGCUGGCGGCAGGCCUAACACAUGCAAGUCGAACGGUAACAGGAAGAAGCUUGCUUCUUUGCUGACGAGUGGCGGACGGGUGAGUAAUGUCUGGGAAACUGCCUGAUGGAGGGGGAUAACUACUGGAAACGGUAGCUAAUACCGCAUAAUGUCGCAAGACCAAAGAGGGGGACCUUCGGGCCUCUUGCCAUCGGAUGUGCCCAGAUGGGAUUAGCUAGUAGGUGGGGUAACGGCUCACCUAGGCGACGAUCCCUAGCUGGUCUGAGAGGAUGACCAGCCACACUGGAACUGAGACACGGUCCAGACUCCUACGGGAGGCAGCAGUGGGGAAUAUUGCACAAUGGGCGCAAGCCUGAUGCAGCUAUGCCGCGUGUAUGAAGAAGGCCUUCGGGUUGUAAAGUACUUUCAGCGGGGAGGAAGGGAGUGAAGUUAAUACCUUUGCUCAUUGACGUUACCCGCAGAAGAAGCACCGGCUAACUCCGUG